rnacentral:tRNA from 3 species
GGGCGAUUAGCUCAGUUGGUUAGAGCGCCACCUUUACACGGUGGAUGUCGGGGGUUCGAGUCCCUCAUCGCCCACGA